GACAGAGGGUGCAACGUUGUUCGGAAUUACUGGGCGUAAAGCGCGUGUAGGCGGCUAUGCAAGUCGGAUGUGAAAGCCCUCGGCUCAACCGGGGAAGUGCACCCGAAACUGCAAGCUAGAGUCUCGGAGAGGAUCGUGGAAUUCUCGGUGUAGAGGUGAAAGUUCGUAAGAUAUCGAGAGGAACACCGGUGGCGAAGGCGGCGAG
rnacentral:rRNA from 1 species